CGGAUGAGGGGUGCUUGCAUCCCGAUUCAGCGGCGGACGGGUGAGUAAUGCCUAGGAAUCUGCCCGAUAGUGGGGGACAACGUUUCGAAAGGAACGCUAAUACCGCAUACGUCCUACGGGAGAAAGUGGGGGCUCUUCGGACCUCACGCUAUCGGAUGAGCCUAGGUCGGAUUAGCUAGUUGGUGGGGUAAAGGCUCACCAAGGCGACGAUCCGUAACUGGUCUGAGAGGAUGAUCAGUCACACUGGAACUGAGACACGGUCCAGACUCCUACGGGAGGCAGCAGUGGGGAAUAUUGGACAAUGGGCGAAAGCCUGAUCCAGCCAUGCCGCGUGUGUGAAGAAGGUCUUCGGAUUGUAAAGCACUUUAAGUUGGGAGGAAGGGCUGUAAGCGAAUACCUUGCAGUUUUGACGUUACCGACAGAAUAAGCACCGGCUAACUUCGUGCCAGCAGCCGCGGUAAUACGAAGGGUGCAAGCGUUAAUCGGAAUUACUGGGCGUAAAGCGCGCGUAGGUGGUUUGGUAAGUUGGAUGUGAAAGCCCCGGGCUCAACCUGGGAACUGCAUCCAAAACUGCCUGACUAGAGUACGGUAGAGGGUGGUGGAAUUUCCUGUGUAGCGGUGAAAUGCGUAGAUAUAGGAAGGAACACCAGUGGCGAAGGCGACCACCUGGACUGAUACUGACACUGAGGUGCGAAAGCGUGGGGAGCAAACAGGAUUAGAUACCCUGGUAGUCCACGCCGUAAACGAUGUCGACUAGCCGUUGGGCUCCUUGAGAGCUUAGUGGCGCAGCUAACGCAUUAAGUCGACCGCCUGGGGAGUACGGCCGCAAGGUUAAAACUCAAAUGAAUUGACGGGGGCCCGCA
rnacentral:rRNA from 1 species